AGUGAACGCUGGCGGUAGGCCUAACACAUGCAAGUCGAACGGCAGCACAGUAAGAGCUUGCUCUUACGGGUGGCGAGUGGCGGACGAGUGAGGAAUACAUCGGAAUCUACUUUUUCGUGGGGGAUAACGUAGGGAAACUUACGCUAAUACCGCAUACGACCUACGGGUGAAAGCAGGGGAUCUUCGGACCUUGCGCGAUUGAAUGAGCCGAUGUCGGAUUAGCUAGUUGGCGGGGUAAAGGCCCACCAAGGCGACGAUCCGUAGCUGGUCUGAGAGGAUGAUCAGCCACACUGGGACUGAGACACGGUCCAGACUCCUACGGGAGGCAGCAGUGGGGAAUAUUGGACAAAGGGCGCAAGCCUGAUCCAGCCAUACCGCGUGGGUGAAGAAGGCCUUCGGGUUGUAAAGCCCUUUUGUUGGGAAAGAAAAGCAGCAGGUUAAUACCCCGCUGUUCUGACGGUACCCAAAGAAUAAGCACCGGCUAACUUCGUG
rnacentral:rRNA from 1 species